rnacentral:rRNA from 1 species
AGUGAACGCUGGCGGUAGGCCUAACACAUGCAAGUCGAACGGCAGCACAGUAAGAGCUUGCUCUUACGGGUGGCGAGUGGCGGACGGGUGAGGAAUACAUCGGAAUCUACUUUUUCGUGGGGGAUAACGUAGGGAAACUUACGCUAAUACCGCAUACGACCUACGGGUGAAAGCAGGGGAUCUUCGGACCUUGCGCGAUUGAAUGAGCCGAUGUCGGAUUAGCUUGUUGGCGGGGUAAAGGCCCACCAAGGCGACGAUCCGUAGCUGGGCUGAGAGGAUGAUCAGCCACACUGGAACUGAGACACGGUCCAGACUCCUACGGGAGGCAGCAGUGGGGAAUAUUGGACAAUGGGCGCAAGCCUGAUCCAGCCAUGCCGCGUGGGUGAAGAAGGCCUUCGGGUUGUAAAGCCCUUUUGUUUGGGAAGAAAAGCAGCAGGUUAAUACCCCGCUGUUCUGACGGUACCCAAAGAAUAAGCACCGGCUAACUUCGUG